rnacentral:rRNA from 1 species
GGACGGCUCAUAANNACGUAGUCAAUCUAACUCGUGGACGUGGAUAACCUCGGGAAACUGAGAAUAAACCACGAUAGAUCAUAGUGCCUGGAAUGGCUUAUGGUCCAAACAGUUUACUGCCAUGGGAUGGGACUGCGGCCUAUCAGCUUGUUGGUGAGGUAAUGGCCCACCAAGGCGAUUACAGGUACGGGCUCUGAGAGGAGAAGCCCGGAGAUGGGUACUGAGACACGGACCCAGGCCCUAUGGGGCGCAGCAGGCGAGAAACCUUAGCAAUGUGCGAAAGCACGACUGGGUCAGUCCGAGUGAUUCCUGAUAAAGGAGUCUUUUGCUUGUCCUAAAAACACAGGUGAAUAAGGGGUGGGCAAGUCUGGUGUCAGCCGCCGCGGUAAUACCAGCACCUCGAGUGGUCAGGACGUUUAUUGGGCCUAAAGCAUCCGUAGCCGGCUUUGCAAGUCUUCGGUUAAAUCCACCUGCUCAACAGAUGGGCCGCUGGAGAUACUACAGAGCUAGGGAGUGGGAGAGGCAGACGGUAUUCAGUGGGUAGGGGUAAAAUCCUCUGAUCCAUUGAGGACCACCAGUGGCGAAGGCGGUCUGCCAGAACACGUUCGACGGUGAGGGAUGAAAGCUGGGGGAGCAAACCGGAUUAGAUACCCGGGUAGUCCCAGCUGUAAACGAUGCAAACUCGGUGAUGCACUGGCUUAUGGCCAAUGCAGUGCCGCAGGAAGCCGUUAAGUUUGCCGCCUGGGAAGUACGGACGCAAGUCUGAACUUAAAGGAAUUGGCGGGG